rnacentral:lncRNA from 1 species
AAUUGUGACAUCUGAAAGUAGUGGGAGAAUUUGAGGAACAUGAGUCAGAACCUGUUACCUAAAAUUUCAGCCUCUGAAGUCACUAUUCCCAGGAUGAAUGACUGGCUUUACAGAGUCCCUGCAAUUAUCAUCACCUGGAGUAGAUGGAGAAAAAGGUCGUUUGAGAAGACUAAGGCUUAAAUGAAAUAGCAUUUUGAAGAUUCUUUCUGAGCCAUUCGGAUUUCCUUACUUGAUCUCUUAACUGCUUCAACUUAUCCAGAGAGCAGUUCUAUUCUUUCUACUCCUUGAAUGAAUAAGAGAAAAGUAAUUUGUGGUUUACUAACAUCUGCAUCAGGGUUAAAUGAUAUUUGUUAAAGAUGUUUAAGUCCUGGACACCACGCUGACCAGUAGAAUCGAAGUGUUGUAAACUGCAUUUUUAAAAACCUCUCUAAGUGUUUUUUUGGCAUCCUAAAAUUUGGGAACUACUGGUCUGUAGUAUGAGGGCCAGUAGCCACAUACAUAAUGAAUGCUUUUGUUGAUACUGAUGUUAUUACCAGAGUUAAUUUUAAUGAAAACUGAAGCUGAUUAAGACACUCUUACUGCCUACUUCUGCUUAAAGGAUUCCUUUUUCUUUCUUUCUUUCUUUUUUAUUUUUAUUUUUUUUUUUGAGACAGGGUCUCUGUCACCCAGGCUGGAGCACACUGGUACAAUCACAGCUCACUGUAGCCUUGACCUCCCAGGCUCAAGUGAUCCUCCUGCCUCAGCCUCCUGAGUAGCUGGGACUACAGGUGCUCACCACCAUGCCCAGCUAAUUUUUAUUUAUUUUUGUAGAGACGGGGUCUUGCCACGUUGCCCAGGCUGGUCUCAAACUUCUGGGCUCAAGCGAUCCUCUUGCCUUGGCCUUCCAAAGUGCUGGGAUUACAGGAAUGAGCCACAAAGAAUUCUUUAAAAAAGAAUAUGACAACUCUGGGUAAAAGUAAAAAAUAUUAUUUACUUUAACUCCCUCUGUUCUUGAGCCAUAAUAUUCUUGAGCAGUGGUUCUCAAAUUUAGCAGUGCAUUAGAAUCUCUCUCGGAGUUUGUUAGAAUACAGAUUACUGGGCCUCAUCCCCAGUAGUUUCUGAUUCUGGAUGAGCCCUGAGAGUUUACAAGUUCUUUACAAGUUUCUUGUAAGUUCCCAUAUGUUUUAGUUGGCUAGGGCUGCCAUAACAAAAUACUGUACACUGGGUGGCUUAAACAACAGAACUUUAUUAUCUCAUAGCUCUAGAGGCUCAAAGUCCUAGAUCAUGGUGCUAGCAGGGUUGGUUUCCAGGAGGCCCCUCUCCCUGGCUUGCAGAUGGCUGUCUCUUCAUACAGUAAUCUGUCUGGGCACAUAUGCAUCCCUGGUAUCUCUUCUGGGUAUUCAAAUAUCCUCUUCUUAUGAGGACAAAAGUCACAUUGGAUUAGGGCCCAUUCUACUGACCUCAUAUUAACUUAAUCAUCUCUUUAAAGGCCCUGUCUCCAAAUAUGGUCAUAUUCUGAAGUACUGGCAGUUAGGACUUCAACAUAUAAAUUUUGAGGGGGACAAAAUUCAGUCUGUAACACCAUAUAAUGCUGAGGCUAUAGAUCUAGGGACCACACUUUGAGAACCACUCUUCCAGACUUGACUGGCCAAACAAGAAAUAACUUCUGAAAAUACAUUUUUCAAUCUUGGUAAGCAGUUCUUGGCCUUCUACUCUUUCUAACAACUUUCUCAUGAUGAUCCUUUCGACGUCUCUCUUAUAAUUAUUAUCCUUGGCAGAUAAUUUUCCAGUCUGCAGUCUACGUCUCUGUCCUCAAUGACUCUUAAAUACGUGUCAGAAUCCAACUGGGUGUCUUGCCAACAGCUCACACUUAGUGUAUUCACACCAGAGCUUAUUUUGGUUGGUUUGGUCUUGCUCUUCAUUUUGUUUCCCUGUUUCUGUGACAUGACCACUCACUGGACAUUUAAAUGGGAUCAUGGAGUCAUAUUUUGUAUUUUCCUUUCCUCUGCACCAAAUCGAGCAGCAUCAACUUUGCAAGUCUCUGUCCCCAUAGCCCUUUUCAUUUUGUGUCCAGCUUUGUUUAGGUCUCAUUCCUUCUUCUUCGAAUGUUGCAACAGCCUUCUAUCCGGAAUCUGUCCUUUUAGUCUCUCCCUCCUUUAAUGAAGACUAUCUGCUGUUGCUGGAGUCAUCUUCCUAAAGCAUUAUUCUAAUCAAAAUUUUCAACUGUGGCUGGUCCAUAAGGUAGUGAGUUACCUCAAUUGAUUGUUCCCAGUCAGUGACAGAUCGACUUCCUUGUUCUAUUCUUUCCCCACUUCUCACUACUGCACUUAACUAGUGUUAAAAAAAAAAAUCAAGUGUUUUUCCACUGCUUAUUCAAUAGGUAAUAUGCCCAGUUAAAAAAAACCUCAGGGUUCUGCUACAAAAAAAAAGAGUGAGUAAGAAACUAUCAGUCUCCUCCAGCCUGCUCCACUGAUUCCCCAAAUAUUCACUUCAUCUUUCCUGUCACACAAGACCCUUCACCCUUCCCAAUGCACACACCCCAAAGUGCAAUGCAGUUAGAAUCUCCAGCUCAAGGUUAAAGAUCUUUGCAUGUUGUGCAUUUGGCUCUG